rnacentral:rRNA from 1 species
AUUGAACGCUGGCGGCAGGCCUAACACAUGCAAGUCGAACGAGUGGCGGACGGGUGAGUAAUGUAUGGGAAACUGCCCGAUAGAGGGGGAUAACUACUGGAAACGGUAGCUAAUACCGCAUACUAUCGGAUGUACCCAGAUGGGAUUAGCUUGUAGGUGGGGUAAAGGCUCACCAAGGCGACGAUCCCUAGCUGGUCUGAGAGGAUGAACAGCCAAACUGGGAAGGAGACACGGGCCAGACUCCUACGGGAGGCAGCAGUGGGGAAUAUUGCACAAGGGGCGCAAGCCUGAUGCAGCCAUGCCGCGUGUAUGAAGAAGGCCUUAGGGUUGUAAAGUACUUUCAGCGGGGAGGCGUUACCCGCAGAAGAAGCACCGGCUAACUCCGUGCCAGCAGCCGCGGUAAUUC